GCUGCUCGCUGCGCCCGCCGCCUCCCGCCACCCCUGCUCGCCCGACAGCGCCGCCGCCUGCCCCGCCAUGGGUCGACAGAAGGAGCUGGUGUCCCGCUGCGGGGAGAUGCUCCACAUCCGCUACCGGCUGCUCCGACAGGCGCUGGCCGAGUGCCUGGGGACCCUUAUCCUCGUGAUGUUUGGCUGUGGCUCCGUGGCCCAGGUUGUGCUCAGCCGGGGCACCCACGGUGGUUUCCUCACCAUCAACCUGGCCUUUGGCUUUGCUGUCACUCUGGGCAUCCUCAUCGCUGGCCAGGUCUCUGGUAAGGCCUUAACCCUGCUCCCAGCCCUUUGCCCUCAAUAGCAUUCCCACUAGGUGUCCUGGCAUUCCUAAGGGCAGGUCACAGCUGUGGCCUCUGCUUUGGCCCCUUGGGAAAGGAGGGUGGGGAAGAAGCUUGACACUUAGAACAUUCGACUCUCACCUUGGAAUCAGAGAUUGUCAGCUAACCUGUUACAUAGACCAACCGGCAUCCUGUGCAAGAAACCCCUCUCUGCACCCCUUCGCAGGGGACCCUAGCCUCCCGACUGUGGCAGGCUGCAGCUAAUAGGUCCCAUGUCCCCUCUGCCCAGGGGCCCACCUGAACCCUGCCGUGACGUUUGCCAUGUGCGUCCUGGCUCGUGAGCCCUGGAUCAAGCUGCCUAUCUACACUCUGGCACAGACACUGGGAGCCUUCUUGGGUGCUGGAAUAGUUUUUGGGCUGUAUUAUGGUAAGCAUUCCCCACCCUGUCCUACUCCACUACCCCCGUCCCUCUGUUCAGGACCUGCUGGCACCAGGCCUUUUGAUGACAGACGGCUAGGGCCUGCCCAGGCCCCGGGCUCAUGACUCACUCAUUCACGCACAGGGCCAAGGUGGGGGGCACGAGGGGAAAGAAACAAGUUGGGCAAUAACAGAGUCUCAGGCCCUCCACCCCACCCCACGUCACCCCCUCUGCCUGCUGCAAUACAGCAGUAUGGCUACUUACCCAUAACUCGUGGGAGGGUGGGGAGGGCACACCUGAGAGGGAAGGCCAGGCUCAGGCCUCUCCCCUGACUCACUCUGGGUCUAAUCUGUCACCAGAUGCAAUCUGGGGCUUUGGCAACAACCAGCUUUUUGUUUCGGGCCCCAAUGGCACAGCUGGCAUCUUUGCUACCUACCCCUCUGGACACUUGGAUAUGACCAAUGGCUUCUUUGACCAGGUAUGGGCUGGGGACACGUGAGGGGAACGCAGGGAGGGGACCGAGUUGCCUUGGUAGCUCAUGGGCUGGUUGGGGGACAGGACUCCUCGACUGUAGCAGGGUUUCUCAAAUCUGUGGGGUAACCUGCAUCAGAACAUGGUGGCAGGUACUUGCAAAACAUGCGGCUCUCCAGCGGGUUCUUGUCACGCAGACAUUCUAGCACCAUUGCUUUCAGGAGAAAAGCAUGGGCGGGCGCUGACAAGAGUUUAAGAGCUAGAGGGAAGACGGGGAUGGAAGGAGGGGUCAGAGAAAGGGAGGGAGCUGCUGCUCACCCUGUUCUCCCCACUCCCCAGUUCAUAGGCACAGCCUCCCUUAUCGUGUGUGUGCUGGCCAUUGUUGACCCCUACAACAACCCCGUCCCCCGAGGCCUGGAGGCCUUCACCGUGGGCCUGGUGGUCCUGGUCAUUGGCACCUCCAUGGGCUUCAACUCUGGCUAUGCUGUCAACCCUGCCCGGGACUUUGGCCCCCGCCUUUUUACAGCCCUUGCGGGCUGGGGCUCUGGAGUCUUCACGUGAGUACAGCCCCCACCCAGCUCACCCCAGCCUGCCUCUCCUCUGCCCUGCCCCCCAUGUCCCUGACUAUGAGUGUCUGUCCCCGCAGGACCGGCCGGCAUUGGUGGUGGGUGCCCAUCGUGUCCCCACUCCUGGGCUCCGUUGCGGGUGUCUUUGUGUACCAGCUGAUGAUCGGCUGCCACCUGGAGCAGCCCCCACCCUCCACCGAGCAAGAGAAUGUGAAGCUGGCCCAUGUGAAGCACAAGGAGCAGAUCUGAGUGGGCAGGGGCCAUCUCCCCACUCCGCUGCCCUGGCCUUGAGCAUCCACUGACUGUCCAAGGGCCACUCCCAAGAAGCCCCCUUCACGAUCCACCCUUUCAGGCUAAGAAGCUCCCUAUCUACCCUCACCCCACGAGACAGCCCCUUCAGGAUUUCCACUGGACCUUGCCCAAAUAGCACCUUAGGCCACUGCCCCUAAGCUGGGAUGGAACCGGAAUUUGGGUCAAUACAUCCUUUUGUCUCCCAAGGGAAGAAAAUGGGCAGCAGGUAUGUGUGUGUGUGUAUGUGUGUGCAAGUGUGUGUGUGUGUGUGUGUGUGUGUGUGUGUGGUUUCCCAGAUAUUCAGGACAAGGGACCAGUCGGAAGGGAUUCUGGCUGUUGGGGGAGCCCAGAGACAGGGAAAGGCAGUCUGUCCAUCUGUGCAUAAGGAGAGGAAAGUUCCAGGGUGUGUAUGUUUCAGGGCUUCACAUGGAGGAGCUGCAGGUAGAUAUGUGUUUCUGUGUAUGUGUAUGUCUGCCUUUUUUUCUAAGUGGGGGCUUCUACGGGCUUUUGGGAGGUAGGGUGGAUGUGGGUAGGGCUGGGAGGAGGGGGCCACAGCUCAGGUUUGGAGCUCUGGAUGUACAUACGUAAGUAGGAGCAGUGGGACAUGUUUCUGUCAUAAUGCAGGCAUGAAGGGUGGGGUGAAGUCAGGUCAUAAGUCUCAUGUUUGCUUUUGUUUUGUUUUGUUUUUAAUGUAUGUAGCAGAUGUUACAGUCUUAGGGAUCCGAGACGGGAGACCCCACUUUAGAAAGGGUCGUCACUCCUUUAAUCCUCUACUCAACAAUGUACUCUUUUAUCUUUUAUAUUAAAAAAUAAAUAAAUAUGUGCCUAAAACCUC
rnacentral:sRNA from 1 species